rnacentral:lncRNA from 1 species
UCAAAUCUCUGUCUCUCAUCUCUGUAAAUCCCUAAACCACACCACCACCACCACCCAUUUUUUACUUUCUAAGCUUUUCAUCCACAACUCAAACCCUAGCCGCCAGAUCUGUAACAUUUAUGGGGUCGGAUUUGUAAAAUUGAUCAUGUAAUUGUAAGCUCUUUAGAGACCUUUUUAUUUCAAGAUCUUGACACCAAAGUGUUCAACUUCUUCUCCCUUUCUAUCAAACAUUCAACCGUCACUUUGUUGCUAGAUCUUGAUUACCAUAGUCUAUUUUUAUAAAAAUCAUAACCAUAUAAAUACUCUACUCUUCCUCUACAAAACCGUCUAUGAAAAUUGUUAUUUUUAUAGUCCACUGUCCACCUUUGAACAUGACACAACAACCACUAAACUCCUCUCUUGUUCCUUUACAAAAUCCAACCAAAAAAAUUAGAAUCGGUCCACCUUUUUCCGGCAACCACCACUGUGCCUGAAAUCGCACCGUCGCCCUGCAGAGUUUGUAUUCCAGUUAUUUCAUCUCUUUCUUUUAGUCAUGAUUUCUUCUCACCACUUCUAUCAUACAUGUAAAACACAGGUAGAGAUUUUAAAAAUAUAUUUGUAGAUCUUGAAAAUAUAUGUAACUUUAGCAAAUGAUGUUUUUUUUUGGUACAAUAACAAAUGAUGUUUUAAAUUUGGGUCUUAAAAAUUGUUAUUUAUGAUGAUAUACUUUUUUUUAUAAAAAAGAUCAUGAUUUUAUUUUCUUUUUGGUUAAUAAGAAGAUAAAAGUGUUGGCGUUGUAUGGUUGGCCUCAUUUUGCUAAAACAUGUGAUCUUUUCUGAUGUGGAACUACAUGCUUCCACCAUCCAGUAUAAGCAAGAUGUUCGGNNNNNNNNNNNNNNNNNNNNNNNNNNNNNNNNNNNNNNNNNNNNNNNNNNNNNNNNNNNNNUGUGUAUGGUGAGAUCUCGCGCCUAAGUUCUAAAUAUGGAAUCCACAAUAAAUGUUCGUUUGUGAUAAGGAGCGUUGUCACGCAUAAUUAUUAAUGGAUCUUGUGAUCAAGUGUUGCUUGCUAAUCAGAUCUUCAAGUUAAGGAAACAAAACAUUUUAAUUGAAGAUUAUUCCUUGAAGGAACCAUUAAUCAUGCUGUGCUAUUGAAGCCUAAUUGAAGACCUAGCCUGAGCUCGUGGAGGUUAUUUAAAGAAGGUUGACUCCAUUGUUCAAUCCACUGAAACCAGAUUUGAGUCUUACAAAGCGUGAGUUUAGGUUUUAGUAUUGUGUCUAUUGUGUUCCAAGUCUUGUGUUGAUUUUCCACUAGACUAGGAACUGUGUGUUUGUGCAUUGUAAUAUCUCUGGAGCUUCUAAGCAAGGAGAUAGUGUGUGUAUAUCCUUCCAAAGCUUUUAAGCACGGAAGUGGUGUGAGUGUUUUAUGAAGUGUGUCUUCACAUAUUAAAUCUAGUAUUGUACGAUCACAGUGCCUGUGGUCAAGAGGAGGUGAGCGGAGGUUCUCAUACCUAGNNNNNNNNNNNNNNNNNNNNNNNNNNNNNNNGAAGUCAUAAACGGGAGGUUUAUUGAGGGCUUCAAACUAAUACUAUCAUAGUGGAUUCACUCCUGGAUUGGUAUCCCCCAGAGUAGGCUUAUGCUGAACUGGGUUAACAAAUUACUGUGUUAAUUUUCUUUUAGUUUGUUUAGUUUAUUAUUCCUUGUGUAUGCGCGGUUGGAUGUUGGAUCAUUGAUUCACGCAUUAAAAGUGUACUAUAGUGGUGAAGCGUUGAGUACAACAUCUUAAUACUAGUGUGCCAGAAUUUCAAAAAGUAUUUUUUUUUUGGUAUAGAUAAAAGUAAUUUUUAUGUCUACUAUAAAAAUAAAAACAAAUUUUUUGCAAAAAAAAAGCCAUAAAUUUCUCAACUAUUUCCAACAUCCAUUUAAUUCUCAACUACUCAUUUCUUAUUCUUGUCUCUUCUCUCUUAGCUAACGGUUGCAAUUCUCUCUCUCUCUCUCUUUAUUUUUGUUUGGACUAAUCUCUCAAUUUUUUAAUUUUUUUGACUAAUCUCUAUUUUUUAUUAAAAAGUUUUUUAUUGUUUCUGUAUAUAUAAAUAAUAGAAAGCCUUACCAAAAAAAUGAAAAUGAAAAAAAAAAAUCAAACUUUUUAUUGUUUCUGUGCAUGGAAAUAAAAAGCAAAAAAACAAAAUCAAUUUUUUUGGCUCUUUUAUUCUAUUUGAUUCUAGAUCUGUUAAUUUUAUUUGUUUAUUUAUUAAAAUCGUUAUUGUCUUUUUGUUCUUCUGCAACAAAUUUUUUUCAAAAAAGUAGUUGUUUUUAUUCUUCAGAACAGCAAAUAUAAUAUAAAGCUAAAAAAUAAUAUUGAGCAUCAAUAAGUGUUAAGUAGUUGUUUUUACCUCUGUUUCUUGUUUUCUUCUCAUUUUUGUUUGUAUCAUGUAUC